GAAGGGGGCUGUACCUGGGAAAGGUGGGCUGUGAGGAUCAGCAGAGGAGCUUCCCAAACACUCUGGACUCCCCAACCCCGUUUUCCCCUUUAGUGAGCCUGCAGAGGGACUCUGAGAUCGGUUUGAGCAAGUGCCCAGUGCUGCUAAUGCUGCCGUCAAAGAGCCACACCUUGAGAAGCAUGCCUAGGGGGACUACUCUGUGGGUGCAGGAGCACCACAGCUAGCCAAGAGAGCUCGCCAUGCACUUCCAGCUCAAGCUCCACGGCCAAGGCACACACUGAAGGAUGUGCUGCCCCUUCUUCAGCUGAGGGCUGAGGGCGACGUCCAUAUCGGAUUGGGGAGCCACCCCUUCCUGAGGCCUCACCUCCACAUCUCCAGGCUCUCCUAGGAGCUUUGGGAAUUAGCAACUAACUGACCCAUCCUCACUUGGGCAUCUCGGCUGCAGGCUCCUGGGAAGCCAGGCAUACGGAGAGAAACAAGGGUGAGUAGUUCUGAAUCUGCUUGUGCAGAAUGAAAGCCCUGCUGUGAGGGAGAGAGAGUCAGAGCAGAUGGCCCACCUCUGGCUUUUGAGGGAUCAGGACUUGCCCUCCCACAGCCAGAAAGACAGAAAAUGGAGUGUACUCAAGUUUGGGUAUGGAAAAUACCUCCAAAUGCUGGGUAGUUUUCUGUGAGUGGGCUCCAGCAGUCUGGUCUGGCUAAUAUUCUGUUUCAGAUUCCCUUAGGGGAGCCCCCCACCCAGAGGGAAGGAGGAGGCAGUCUGCUAGAAUACUGCUUUGUAAGUUGCUUCUUUUCAUUUUGUACUGGAGUUUCAGGAACUGCUUUAAAUGUCCCUAUCCUCAAGUCUACUUUGUACUCUCUUCAUUACAGCUCAGUGUACCUUUCCGUUAUAGCCUGGGAAACAGACAAUUCCACCACACCCUCCCCCCUUACAUUUAUUUUAGAUUUUCUCUUUUCCUAAAAUGUAGUUGAACAAUUUGCCAUAUUCCAAUGGAAAUAUGCUGCCAGGUAUCCCCCUGCCCCUCCCCGACCCCCUAAAUCCCUGAUAAAGGAAAAUGAAAAUGUAAACUUUGGAAAGCCUGUACUCAGGGUUUGCUUCUAGAAGUAUGCAAAUGAGGCCCCCUGGCCAGCCAAGCCCUUCUUGCUAGAACCUCUCUGGCCUAGGUUUUGAGGGCAGGUACUUUGUGGCCCAGGGCAGAGCUUUCCUGGCAUUUCCCUGGCACUGGCUGGCUGAGGGCUAAAAGAAUAGAGUGGGAGACCGGCCCUCCAGUACUCUCUAAGGCACUAACCCCGACAUCAGAGACACUGGCUGGAAGGGCGUCCAAGCAGGCAGGGCUCACAUUGGUUUUGGUUGGGUUGUUUUUUUUUUUUAAUAUUUUUUCAUAAGAUGUUAAUAAUCAAAAGUAGAAAAUAAAAAUCUACAUUUCAUUAGAAUAAGAUGUUAUCAUGGAUGCCAUCUCCCAUGAUACUCUUUCCCCACCCUCCCCGAAGCAGGGCCCUGCCCUGUUAUUUAAAAUAAACAAACAAAAAAACUUUUGUAAGUGCCAAAGGUUGAUGCAUGAAAUAAUUACUUUUUUUUUUUUUCAUAAAAGUUAUAUACAAAAUGGACCCCAACCAGUGAGGCCUCCUCAUCUCAACCCUUAUCAAUCAAGAUUAAAACUCAGUGCAUGUGUGUGCUUCGUCCAGCGUCUGCAGGCUGCAUCCGUGCCUUCAGGCUCUGUUAAGGAGAGUCGUCCUAAAGGACCUUCACUUUCAAAGGAGGCGAUGAAGAGAGCUGAGAGAAGAAGCCCCUCAGAACCCACGUCCACAUGCAGUCAGUCUGCCUACCACACCAGUUGUCCCUUCCUUUCUAGGGGUACAACUGGGCCUG